AUGGUUUGUGCAUAUUGUCUUGUUUCUUUUGGUUGCGUUCUUGGAGAUUACUUCAGUUGCUUCUGGCCAUUAUGCAUUGUAUCUAAGACGAGACUGUAUGACGAGUCAUUUUCUGUUUGGCGUCUAUCUACCGCCUCCGACAUAACCUCUUCUCAUUCUUCCUCUCUGUCGUAUUAUCCCUCGCAUCAGCGAAUCGACUCUGAUGGCGAGCCAGGGACCAUGCACCUCUCUACCAGACACCCUCCCACCUACUUCAGCUCAGGCGGAUCGCCACAUCUCUUCAGCCUGUCUGUGCACAAGGUGGUUACGAUGAACAAUGUUGCACACAACUGUAGCUGCUCGGCAGCGACAGUGACUUCGCGUUAUUGUUUGCUACCGAUCAGCCGCCUUGGUCGCCGUUUGUCACUAAUCCUGAUAGCUUCAAAGUAA
rnacentral:rRNA from 1 species